rnacentral:rRNA from 1 species
GAUGAACGCUAGCGGCAGGCCUAACACAUGCAAGUCGAGGGGUAGAGUAAGCUUGCUUACUUGAGACCGGCGCACGGGUGCGUAACGCGUAUGCAAUCUACCUUGUACAGGGGAAUAGCCCAGAGAAAUUUGGAUUAAUGCCCCAUAGUAUAUAACCUUCGCAUGUUGGUUAUAUUAAAGUUCCAACGGUACAAGAUGAGCAUGCGUCCCAUUAGUUAGUUGGUAAGGUAACGGCUUACCAAGACGAUGAUGGGUAGGGGUCCUGAGAGGGAGAUCCCCCACACUGGUACUGAGACACGGACCAGACUCCUACGGGAGGCAGCAGUGAGGAAUAUUGGUCAAUGGUCGCAAGACUGAACCAGCCAUGCCGCGUGCAGGAAGACGGUCCUAUGGAUUGUAAACUGCUUUUAUACAGGAAGAAACCCUCCCACGUGUGGGAGCUUGACGGUACUGUAGGAAUAAGGAUCGGCUAACUCCCUGUCAGCAGCCGCGGUAAUACG